rnacentral:rRNA from 1 species
CAGUAGCCACGGUAAUACGGAGGGGGCUAGCGUUGUUCGGAAUUACUGGGCGUAAAGCGCACGUAGGCGGCUUGGUAAGUUAGAGGUGAAAUCCCCGGGCUUAACCUGGGAACUGCAUUUGAAACUGGCAGGCUAGAGUCUUGUAGAGGGGGGUAGAAUUCCAGGUGUAGCGGUGAAAUGCGUAGAGAUCUGGAGGAAUACCGGUGGCGAAGGCGGCCCCCUGGACAAAGACUGACGCUCAGGUGCGAAAGCGUGGGGAGCAAACAGGAUUAGAUACCCCUGUAGUCCCUGUCUCUUAUAC